rnacentral:rRNA from 1 species
UACGAAGGGGGCUAGCGUUGCUCGGAAUCACUGGGCGUAAAGGGUGCGUAGGCGGUUUCGUUAGUCGGGUGUGAAAACCCCAGGCUCAACCUGGGGACGCCACCCGAUACUGCGAUGACUAGAGUCCGGUAGGGGAGUGUGGAAUUCCUGGUGUAGCGGUGAAAUGCGCAGAUAUCAGGAGGAACACCAACGGCGAAGGCAGCACUCUGGGCCGGAACUGACGCUGAGGAGCGAAAGCGUGGGUAGCGAACAGG